CUCAGUUUGGAUCGGCAGUCAUCCAUACCUCAGUGUACUUGAUACAGCACCUAGUUCAGCUGGGAAUUGAGGUUGAGGCCGUCAGGAGAGAUUCCAGUCGCUAGCCCCUUUAUCGCGAGGAUUUGCCUGUUGUCGGGAUCUGUUUUCUUUUUGCAUCUUAUGUACUUGUGAUGUGGGUUUUGUAUUGUGGACUUUAUGACGCACAUUGGGUUUACUACUUUUGUUUUCCGCUGCGAAUAUUUCAUUACUUCGUGGAUUUCGUUUCUUCGU